CCAAAUACUCCAGACCAUUCUCCUGUUAAUAUCCCUUGUCAGUAGAGCAAUCUUCCAAGGUUGCCGAGAUAUACCAACCUCAAUACCAUCACAUCACUCGACCUAAACAUAAGUCCCAAGACCAAACCACAGACCACUAUAUGCCAUCAGAAUCCAUACACAGUUUAGGAAACGAAUGAAUCUGCAUUAAAGUGCAAUAAAAUUCAUCAUCUCUAGUCAUAGUCUCCCAUCACAAAACAGAGACUCUGGAGAUACACAAAACCAAAUAAAUUUAUAGGAAUAAACAGUAAAUCAGCAGUCAAACAGAAUUGGAAGUAACAUGAGCAGCAUGAAAAAGCAAGGAAGAAAAGGAGUACAAACAAUGCAGGACAGCCUAAAUACACAGGAGAACCUAGAGGAAUCAGAAAAAUAGUCAAAUGAAGAACUCAAGGAAUACCUUAGACAGAUGGAAUGGAAUCUUAAAGAGGACAUGAGACAGAAAAUUCAAACAAUGAAAGAACACAUUGAAAAUGAAUGACAUAAACAGAUAAAAGAAGCAAAUAAGCAACUUUACCAGGAGAUAGAGAUUAUUAAAAAAAUCAAACAGUAAUCCUAGAAAUGAAGGAAACUAUAAACCAAAUUAAAAAAAAGCUAAUCAUGGAUAAACAAACCAAAUUUUAAAAAAAGAUAAAUAAUCAAACAUGGCCGGAAGUACAAACCGUAUAUCAAUAGUAAUCCUAAAUGUUAAUGGCUUAAACUCACCAAUAAAGUGACAUAGGCUGGUAACAUGGAUUUCAAAAACAAAUCCAACAAUAUGCUGCCUCCAGGAGACACAUCUGAUUGGAAAAGACAUACAAAGGCUGAAGGUGAAAGGUUGGGAAAAAUCAUACCACGCUCACGGUCCUCAGAAGCAAGCAGGGGUGGCC
rnacentral:lncRNA from 1 species